GACGAACGCUGGCGGCGUGCUUAACACAUGCAAGUCGAACGGAAAGGCCCUGCUUUUGUGGGGUGCUCGAGUGGCGAACGGGUGAGUAACACGUGAGUAACCUGCCCUUGACUUUGGGAUAACUUCAGGAAACUGGGGCUAAUACCGGAUAGGAGCUCCUGCUGCAUGGUGGGGGUUGGAAAGUUUCGGCGGUUGGGGAUGGACUCGCGGCUUAUCAGCUUGUUGGUGGGGUAGUGGCUUACCAAGGCUUUGACGGGUAGCCGGCCUGAGAGGGUGACCGGCCACAUUGGGACUGAGAUACGGCCCAGACUCCUACGGGAGGCAGCAGUGGGGAAUAUUGCACAAUGGGCGGAAGCAUGAUGCAGCAACGCCGCGUGCGGGAUGACGGCCUUAGGGUUGUAAACCGCUUUCGCCUGUGACGAAGCGUGAGUGACGGUAAUGGGUAAAGAAGCACCGGCUAACUACGUG
rnacentral:rRNA from 1 species